GCCUGGCCGCCCAUCGUCUGGGACGUGAGGAGCCCCUCUGCCUGGCUGCCCAGUCUGGAAAGUGAGGAGCGUCUCUGACCGGCCGCCAUCCCAUCUAGGAAGUGAGGAGCGCCUCUUCCCGGCAGCCAUCCCAUCUGGGAAGUGAGGAGCGUCUCUGCCCGGCCGCCCAUCGUCUGAGAUGUGGGGAGCGCCUCUGCCCCGCCGCCCCGUCUGGGAGGUGAGGAGCGUCUCUGCCCGGCCGCCCCGUCUGAGAAGUGAGGAGACCCUCCGCCCAGCAUCCGCCCCAUCUGAGAAGUGAGGAGCCCCUCCGCCCGGCAGCCGCCCCGUCUGAGAAGUGAGGAGUCCCUCUGCCCGGCAGCCACCCAGUCUGGGAAGUGAGGAGCGUCUCCGCCCGGCAGCCGCCCCGGCCGGGAGGGAGGUGGGGGGGUCAGCCCCCCGCCCGGCCAGCCGCCCCGUCCGGGAGGGAGGUGGGGGGGUCAGCCCCCCGUCCGGGAGGGAGGUGGGGGCGGUCAGCCCCCCGCCCGGCCAGCCGCCCCAUCCGGGAGGGAGGUGGGGGGGUCAGCCCCCCGCCCGGCCAGCCGCCCCGUCCGGGAGGGAGGUGGGGGGUCAGCCCCCCUCCCGGCCAGCCGCCCCGUCCGGGAGGUGAGGGGCGCCUCUGCCCAGCCGCCCCUACUGGGAAGUGAGGAGCCCCUCUGCCUGGCCAGCCACCCCGUCCAGGAGGGAGGUGGGGGAGUCAGCCCCCCACCCGGCCAGCCGCCCCGUCCGGGAGGGAGGUGGGGGGGUCAGCCCCCCGCCCGGCCAGCCGCCCCGUCCGGGAGGGAGGUGGGGGGGUCAGCCCCCCGCCCGGCCAGACGCCCCGUCCGGGAGGUGAGGGGCGCCUCUGCCCGGCCGCCCCUACUAGGAAGUGAGGAGCCCCUCUCCCAGCCACCACCUCGUCUGGGAGGUGUACCCAACAGCUCAUUGAGAACGGGCCGGGAUGACAAUGGCGGUUUUGUGGAAUAGAAAGGGGGGAAAGGUGGGGAAAAGAUUGAGAAAUCGGAUGGUUGCCGGGUCUGUGUAGAAAGAAGUAGACAUGGGAGACUUUUCAUUUUGUUCUGUACUAAGAUAAAUUCUUCUGCCUUGGGAUCCUGUUGAUCGGUGACCUUACCCCCAACCCUGUGCUCUCUGAAACAUGUGCUGUGUCCACUCAGGGUUAAAUGGAUUAAGGGCGGUGCAAGAUGUGCUUUGUUAAACAGAUGCUUGAAGGCAGCAUGCUCGUUAAGAGUCAUCACCACUCCUUAAUCUCAAGUACCCAGGGACACAAACACUGCGGAAGGCCGCAGGGUCCUCUGCCUAGGAAAACCAGAGACCUUUGUUCACUUGUUUAUCUGCCAACCUUCCCUCCACUAUUGUCCUAUGACCCUGCCAAAUCCCCCUCUGCGAGAAACACCCAAGAAUGAUCAAUAAAAAAAAA
rnacentral:lncRNA from 1 species